UUUUGCAUUAUAAGAAAAAAGAGGGGGUAUUCAUCUUCUACAUAUAUUUACACACACACAAACACUCAGAACUAAAACCUAAACAUUUUCUCCCCCCUCUCUCUUUCCAGCCGCCGCCGCCAGCCCUCCACGCCGGAGCUCGGAGCUCCGGCGAACACCUCUAACAGCCGCCCCACCCUUACCACUUCGUCUCCCUCUACUCCCUCCGCCACAUCUCUCUCUUUCCAGAUGCCUCUCCGCCAGCCUCUUCCUCUUUCCUUCACCGACGAGCAGCCAUGCGACCACCACAUGCCCACUCCCUUUCCCUUUUCUUCCCACUUCCCUCACGCCCCUUGUUGCUCCAAUCAACUGCUCCGGCGAGCCGAAGCAGCGAACAACAACUCCGUCUCCCAACCACAAACCACCACACCGCAACCAACCAGCUGUCCUUUUCACUCUUUCCCUCUUCCCUAUCACUGUUCCGAUGGGCUACAACCAGCCUCCGGCGAACACCAACCCACAUGAUGCACAUAUAUUUUUAGAAGGCCGGUUUUCUGUGCAAAUUUUCUGCUUCAUUUCUCCUAGGAUUUUUUUUAGCAUUUUUUGUCUGAUCAUAAAAUCACUGUGCUAAAAGGUCCACUGGAAAGCAGUAACGGAGGUGUGAAGAGAGAUCCACAGGAAGAAAUCAUGGUUGGAGCUUUAAUGUGUAGCUUCUUAGUGAUCUGCUUGCUUUCAGUAAUAGCAAUUACCCCAAAACAUCUUUUCUCAUCUUCCCAUCCAUGUUAUCUUCCAGUAUGAACCUUUCAGCAGUGCAUCCAGUCAAGAUAAUGGCGCCUGCAUUAACAGCAUCAACUAGCCAAGUGGAAUCAGUCCCUUUCUUGUUUCCUGUUUUACAACCAUAACCACAAGAACCACAAUAAUGAUUCUCUGAACAAUUUGAUAUACAUUGGUAUUGUAACUUUACAUAUGCUUAUUAACUUUUGAUAUACAUCUGAUCAGCUACUGAGCUGUAAUAUUU